rnacentral:rRNA from 1 species
GAUGAACGCUGGCGGCGUGCCUAAUACAUGCAAGUCGAGCGAAUGGAUUAAGAGCUUGCUCUUAUGAAGUUAGCGGCGGACGGGUGAGUAACACGUGGGUAACCUGCCCAUAAGACUGGGAUAACUCCGGGAAACCGGGGCUAAUACCGGAUAACAUUUUGAACCGCAUGGUUCGAAAUUGAAAGGCGGCUUCGGCUGUCACUUAUGGAUGGACCCGCGUCGCAUUAGCUAGUUGGUGAGGUAACGGCUCACCAAGGCAACGAUGCGUAGCCGACCUGAGAGGGUGAUGGGCCACACUGGUACUGAGACACGGCCCAGACUCCUACGGGAGGCAGCAGUAGGGAAUCUUCCGAAAUGGACGAAAGUCUGACGGAGCAACGCCGCGUGAGUGAUGAAGGCUUUCGGGUCGUAAAACUCUGUUGUUAGGGAAGAACAAGUGCUAGUUGAAUAAGCUGGCACCUUGACGGUACCUAACCAGAAAGCCACGGCUAACUACGUGCCAGCCGCCGCAGUAA